rnacentral:rRNA from 1 species
UACGUAGGCGGAAAAUUAAGUCAGUAGUGAAAUCCUGCAGCUUAACUGUAGAACUGUUAUUGAUACUGGUUUUCUUGAAUAUAGUUGAGGUAGGCGGAAUGUGUAAUGUAGCGGUGAAAUGCUUAGAUAUUACACAGAACACCGAUUGCGAAGGCAGCUUACUAAGCUAUGAUUGACGCUGAGGUACGAAAGCGUGGGGAGCGAACAGGAUUAGAUUCCCUGGUAGUCC